rnacentral:rRNA from 1 species
GGGAAUAUUGGACAAUGGGCGCAAGCCUGAUCCAGCAAUGCCGCGUGGGUGAAGAAGGCCUUCGGGUUGUAAAGCCCUUUUGUACGGGAAGAAAGCAUUCGGGUUAAUACCCCGGGUGGAUGACGGUACCGUAAGAAUAAGCACCGGCUAACUUCGUGCCAGCAGCCGCGGUAAUACGAAGGGUGCAAGCGUUAAUCGGAAUUACUGGGCGUAAAGCGUGCGUAGGUGGUUGUUCAAGUCUGUCGUGAAAGCCCUGGGCUCAACCUGGGAAUGGCAAUGGAAACUGGACGGCUAGAGUGCGGUAGAGGAUGGCGGAAUUCCCGGUGUAGCGGUGAAAUGCAUAGAUAUCGGGAGGAACAUUCGUGGCGAAGGCGGCCAUCUGGACCAGCACUGACACUGAGGUACGAAAGCGUGGGGAGCAAACAG